rnacentral:tRNA from 10 species
GGGAUGGCUCUUAGAGAUUGCUUGGUUCAAGUGGCAGAGCCUGUACCAAGACCAAAUCUUUGCUUUCAAUUUGGGGGUCUGUAUCUCAAAGCCUUUAAAAUGCUGAUGGAAGGAGUGGAGAUCCAGCGUUCAGGGUAGAAAAGAGGAAAAUCCAUGGAACCAUAAUCUAUGGAUGGCUUUAGGAAUGGGAUUGACUGCAAAGGAGCACAAGGGAACUUCCUGGGGUGAUGGAAAUGUUUUGUCUUGAUUGUGGUAAUGAUUACAUGACUAUGUUUGUCAAAAUUCCAGAACUUUAUACCUAAAAGGGUGAAUUUUACUGCAUGUAAAUUAUACCUAAACACAUGACUUUUUAAAAAGGCCUGAAAUCUUAACUACUCAGCUAAAAAUAAAAUAAAAUAAAAUAAACAAUUUAGGUGCAAAACAAGUUUUGUUUUUGGGACUGACAGAGGUCCAGUGAUUGUAUUUAUUUAUAAAGCUAAUAAUCCAAUCCAAUAUAUCAAUAUCAAUACUUUUAAAUAGGAUAUAAAAAGUUAUGAGAUUUUUUAAAAUAAGGAUUUAGACUGCAAAAUAUUAUGACUACAAUGUUCCUGAAGCAACACUAUCUUAAAAAAUAUCUCAAACAGAAAAUAACACUCUAAUGCUCUCAAUCAUUGCAAUAAUUGAAACUUCCAGAAUAUUACCAUAAUGCUGCUUAUAUUACAUACCCAAAGCCCUGUAUUUAAUAGUUAAAAACAAAGAAUUAUUUAAUACCAGCUAGCUUCAUUACUUGAUAGAUUAACUUGCUUGACAGAUCAACAUUACUUGAUAGAUUACUGGAUAGAUCAACUAGCUUCCUAAAACAUAACUGUAGCUCAGCUUCUAAAAAAGGUGAAAGAAAUUAUUAUAUUCAACUGAACUAGAUUUUAAAAAUAAAGACUAUCAAGAACAUAGGAAGAGGUAAUUAAAUGACGGGUCCUCUCUACUAAGGUUUCAAUAGAAGCAAAUACAUCCGAGAAACCAUUUACAAAGAACUCACCCUCAUAAUUGCCUUAGAGACCAAAGUCACAAUUUUAAGGCCAAGAUCUUUAGAAAUCAGAUAGGUCAGUGUGACGGUUAAUUCUGUGUCAAACUUGACUGGAUUAUGGGGUGCCCAGAUAUUUUGGUCAAACAUUAUUCUGGGGUUAUCUUUGUAAGGGUGUUUUGGAUGAGACUAACAUUUAAAUUGACAGACGAAAGCAGAGUGCCUUCUAUAAUGUAGGUGGGCUUUAUCCAAUCAUUUAAAGGCCUGAAUAGAAUGAAAAGUUUGACCCUCCCCAAAGUGAGUGAAUUCUUCCUACUUUUGAACUGUGACAUGGGCUUUUUCCUGCCUUUGGACUUGGACUAGAACUACACCAUCAGCUCUCCUAGGUCUCAAGCUUGCUUACUCACCUUGCAGAUCUUGGGACUUGCCAGCCUCCAUCACUGCAUAAGUCAAUUCCUUAUAAUAAAUCAUAUAUGUGCACACACAGGCAUGCCUCAGAGAUAUUGCAGGUUUGGUUCAAGACCACUGCAGUAAAGUAAAUAUCACAGUAAAGGGAUCCACACAAAUUUGUUGGUUUCUCAGUGCAUAUAUGUUAUGUUUACACUACACUGUAGUCUUAAGUGUGCAACAGCAUUAUGACUUUAAAAAAAGUACACACCUUCAUUUAAACAUAUUUUCUUGCUAAAAAAAUGCUGACAGACAUAAAGUGAGCACAUGCUGUUGGAAAAAACGGUACCAACGGUACCAAUUUGUAAAUAACACAUUAUCUGCAAAGUGCAAUAAAGUGAGACACAAUAAAAUGAGGUAUGCCUGUAUAUCCUAUUGGUACUGUUUCUCUGGAGAAUCCUAAUACAACCUGCUUUCAAAUCAAUUUAAGACCCUCCCCCCAUAAGCAUUACAUUGAGGAAAAUGUGGUUGCAACUUUGUCCUACAAAUUAGGACAAAGAGACCUUUGUUGCCAUAUAACAAUAUUAAAAAACCAGUAUGCCUACCUCUGGAUGUAUUUGCUACAAAUACCAGUAUUAGAUUGUAAUUGCCAAUCCUUUAAAACCAGUUUUAAGAUGGAUAUAAAGCCCUAAAAAUCUUGCAGCUUCCACAUGCACAUCUGAAAAACUUCCAAUUUACAAAGGACAUUGUGGUAUUUUUGGAAAACAAAGGAAAAUGACACAUACUAAUUUCUGUCAUUUAUUCACGUCAUAAUCCCCAAAGCUACCUUUAUUCCACGACUCUUUCCACCAUUUUCCUACAGUCAGCUUUUUUUAAGGCUAUAGCCUUUAAAAACUUGAAACAGAAAAUUUUAAGGAUGCAACCAUUAGAAAAUGUUCCCAUACUACCAUUUAACAUUCCCCAUUUAUCAUUAUGUUUACUAUCGUGUAAUUUCCAACAUAAUAUUAUGAGGUCAAAGGCUCUACGAACGCCGUUUUACAAUCUACCUAGGGAGGCAAUGGCUGUGAAACACACCACACCAAUGACAGGAAUGCGGGUCACUGUGACACAACGGAUCCCUCUGCAAAGUCAAAGCUAAGAGUUCACUUUACGCUGACGGAGCUUCUUUCCAGGACCCCCACCCCCACCCAAGGACAGGAGAGUGUCGAUUUCCCAAGGUGUCUGGCACUGCUUCUUGAAAACGCAGCUCUCAUCUGGUUCCUGGAAGGUCAUACUGGUUCGCGCAGGGCUCGGGACGGGGCGCUUGGCUUCUGAGGCACCCGCGCUGGCUCCUCACCCGGUGACCUUCAGGCCUCUGCGCUUGGCCUGACCCUAGAAGGGCCACCGCCCUUCACAGCGGGCGGGCACCGUCCCUCCCACGGCCCCGCCGACUGCUGACGCGGUGGCCCCAAGGGUCCAGGCCCGCACUUGCCCCACUCCCGCGGCGCCGUCCCCCAUAGUCGGUCCCCGAGGGCCGCGCCCAGCUCCUGCUCGGAUUUCAGCCCGCACCGCACCCCAGCCGCCAGGGAACCUUCCAGAACCCUGCCCCUCUGGCUUUCUCCCGAAAGCCCAGGGUCGCCGUCCAGGAAGAAACUUCGAUUCAUUUAUUGAGCGCCGACUGUGUCCAAGGCCGAGGGAGGGGCGGGGUUUCCACGCGGGGAGACCCCCUAGGUUCUCGCCUCGGUAAGCGCCCGCGUUCCAGCACCUCGAGUCGCCCGCGGGCCCCCACCCCUCGGGCCGGGCCCGGUCCUCGAGGAAAACCCACGGCGGGGCAGGAAGGAACGAGGAGAGCCACGCUCCUUGCCCGCCUCGUCCCCUCCACUCCCCUUCACCUCACGGGACCCCAGGGAAGCCGCCGGAGCUAAAAUUAGCAACCCGCGCAGCGCGCGCUCACGUGCGCGCGGCCCGGCGGGGGCGGGGAGCAAGGGGCGCGGUCCGGGUGAGUCACCGGCCCCGCCCCACUCGCCAAGAACGCGCUGACGUCAGCCGCUUCCCCGAAGGGUGACGUAAGCGCGCCACGGGGAGGCCGAGGCAGCUGAUAGAAUGUUCUGAGUUUCGAUGCCUUAAAGGGACCAGGCCUGGGAUCGUGAAACAUCUGGGGAAACGACUCCACUCACUCACCUGCAGACUGAGAGCCCAUCUUGUACCGUGUUAUACUUUAAGAGAGUUGACUGUUGAGAUGAUGAUGAAAACGGAAGAACAACUGAGCCUAGUUGGAGGCUCUUUGAAGUCCCAGAACCUCCUCCUGGAAGCCCUCUUUGGUUAACCAGAUGGACAUCUCAGUUGCCCUCUGAGCCUGAACCAAGUGUCAGGAAGAGUUUUCUAUGGCCCUUGACUCCUUAACUCUUUGCUUAUAGCGUCUCUGCUCUCUGAUGCCUCUGCUGUCAGAGAAAGGCUGUGGUUUAAAUAUUUAUUUAUGAAUCCAUCAGCUUGGGCCAACUAGGUCCAUUUAUCACCGUUUUGACUGUGUCUAAACUGUCAUUAGUGGUGUGACUAGAAACCAGUUAAUUUCGCUGGGUGGUAAAUUCGUGGACUGAUCUCCAAACCCUCCUACUGUGCUAAUGUUGCCAAUGGAAGUUUCCAGAGGCCAGGAUCCCUGGCCAACACGUGAUCGUAAACAACAUCAGGGCCUCACAGGGAACUCACAAUUUACUGAGGUUUGCUCUGUGCCAGGUGUUUUCAUGAUCCUCCAUCCCCUUGUCGUUUAGUCCUCUUCUCUGAGUCCUCCCCAUUUUACUGAUGAGGACGGAAAUCGAGGCACACGAUUAAGCGUUUCCCUGGGUCACACAGCUAAUGAAUGGCGAGCUGGAAGUCAGUCCCAGGUCAUCAGACUCCGAAGUCCAUGGUUUUGGUGAUGAAGGUGGGCUGUGAAAUGUGUGUCUUAUUCUAUGCAUGUGAGUCCGCUGGAACCAACUUUUCCACUUGGAACACAAUCUCAGUGCCUUUCAGCAGGUAACCGGCGCCAGACCAGAUCUCCAGAGAUGGAGGUGGUCGGCCUCAGGGCCCAGCCAUGAGAAGGUGUAUGAGGAGGCAUCGCAUCAGGCGCCCACCCUGUGCUUGCAGGGCCUGACCAUGAGCGCCGCCUUCAGUUUUACACCUUAGGCACCCCACUUGGCUCCCCUUCGUCCCAGCCCUGCCAGACCCACCCUUGACUCUGUGUUUCCUUUCUGGAAACUCGAGAGGCCAUUUCUACUUAAAGAGUCCUCACCUGGCCUACCAGCGACCAGAUCUGCCCAAGUGCAGAAGAAACACUUGGUUAUCUCCUCUUUCAUCGUCCCCGCUCGAGCAUAAAACAACAGAAAGUUUCCUAUCGGAACAGCAUGCUUGUGCCAAAAACAAAUUAGAAACAACAACAACUUCUCAAAAUUUUGAGCAAAAUGAUGGUGACCGUGUUCUGGAAAUGGAGCAAAGUUUCCUAGUGCCUGUGACCAAACACCUUGUGUGUGCUCCCCAGGAGAGAAAACCGCUAGCAGCCUCAGGUAUUGUUGGGGGUGGGGAGGAUGGGGGUUCUGUGGGGACAGGAACUUCUUCCUCUGUAUUGGGGGUGGACACACACACGGAAACUUAGAGCGGUGUACUACCUCCAGGCCAACCAGGCAAGUCCCUGUUUUAUAACUAAGGUCUAGGUGAGGUGGCCUGCCCGGGGUCCCAUGGCCUGUUAGGGGUAGAGAUUUCUAGUCACUUGACUUCCAGCCUGCUUCUUUUCCAUGGAUCACACACACACUACUGUUACAAGACACAGGUAGGACAAAGGGCAUGAACAUGCAUGGCAAAAUGAACAUGCACGGCAAAUGGGAACAUGUCAUAUAUACAAUGGAAGGGAAGACAAAUGACAUGAAGUAAAUAUAGACAUGAAAUCAUAGGGAAGAAUUGGAGAUCACGAUUUCUGAUGACCACCAGCUAUUCCCACUUCCUCUUUGCUUCUCCCUCCCACCUUGUUUGAAGACAGGUGAGGAGUUGUUCCUCCUCAGACCCAGGAAUCAUUUCCCAGUGGAAUGACACGGUGAAGUGGAUCGCCAUUUUUAAACCUUCAAUAAUAAAGAUCUUGUGUGUCAUUUCAGUUUUAAUUUUUUAUCGUCCAGUCUUUACUCUCCAUCAUUUCUUUAUCCCAGAAGCCCCAUUAAAUGUCAUUAAGAGCCAUAAAUGUAACUGGCCACUAAUGUGGAAGGAUUGUGAUCUCCGGCAAACAGCCCCGGCAAGCAAAAGAACAGGAAUCCUGGGUCAGUUUCCAACUGUGCCUGUGACUCACUGUGUGACACAAAGCAAAGCUCCACUUUUGCGGAGGGAGAGCUGUGGGGCAGCGAGACACACAUAGCCUGGGCCCUGACAGAGGUGGAGGGGUUUCCCUGCAUGCAGGAAGCUCAGGGGUCCCUGUUGGAAUCCAGUUCCAUAGUAACUCCUUAGUAAUGGCCAUGAGCUGUGCCUCCAAUGGAGACACUACCAUGGCUUGGACUGGAUUGUGGCACUUGCCCUUCGUGACAUCAUUCUCAUAGGUUAGGAAUGCACCCUGAUUAUUUCUAACUCCACUUUAAUAACUUGUUCUGGAUCUGCCCUCCAGGAAUUUAUUUGAAACUUUCUUUAUUCUAUUUAUAUUUCAGCCUGUACAGCCUUUUCAGGCAACAAGUAGAUUUACCAUUUAUGUAAAAACACUUAAUUCUAAAACACAGGAAGUGCUGCAUAAUGGUUUGUUAUAAUAAUCACAAUAAUUUGAUAUCUAUAUUGUUAUACAUAACAAAUAUUAUAUUAUAGUUUGAUGAUAAUUAUUCAUGCAGAUGGCCUCACAGGCUUCAUAUUUUCAGUCACUCACUAUCUUUGUGUUUAUCCCCUCACCCACCUCUCCCCAACCCCAAUCAAAAAGUAUCUCUUGGCUGGGUACAGUGGCUCAUGCCUUUAAUCUCAGCACUUUGGGAGGCUGAGGCAGGAGGAUUGCUUGAGCUCAGGAGUUUGAGACCAGCCUGGGCAACAUAGUGAGACCUCAUCUCAAUUUUUAAAGAAUUUUUUUUUUUGAGAUGGAGUUUUGCUCUUAUUGCCCAGGCUGGAGUGCAGUGGCAUGAUCUCAGCUCACCGCAACCUCUGCCACCCGAGUUCAAGCUAUUCUUAUGCCUCAGCCUCCCGAGUAACUAGGAUUACAGGCGUGUGCCACCACGCCUGGCUAAUGUUGUAUUUUUAGUGGAGACGAGAUUUCUCCAUGUUGUUUAGGCUGGUCUCGAACUCCAGACCUCAGGUGAUCUGCCCACCUUGGCCUCCCAAAGUGCUGGGAUUACAGGUGUGAGCCACCACGCCUGGCCAGAAAUUGUUUUUAAGUGUCAUAGUGAAGAUGAGGGGCGGGGGAAGCAUUUAUUAAUGGAAUUAGGUGCUGUAAUGGGUGCAACUCUGUGCAGAAACUUACCUAAACAGAUUCAAUGUCCUCUAAGGACUUGUUAUCUAAGAUCAACAUAUGGUAGGUGCUUGUCUUAGUCAAUUUGGGCUGCUAUAACAAAAUACCGAAGACUGGGUGUUGUAAACAACAGAUAUUUAUUUCUUACAGUUGUGGAGCCUGGGGAAUUCAAGAUCAAGGUGCUAGCAGAUUAGUGUCUGGUGAGGACCGGCUCCCUGGGUUGCACACCUGCCUUCUUGCUGUGUCCUCACGUGGCCUUUCCUUGGUGGUGUGCCUGUGAAGAGAGAGAGAGCUCUCCUGUCUUUUCCUCUUCUUCUAAGGGCACUAAUUCCAUCAUGAGGGCACCAUCCUCAUGACCUAAUCCAAACCUAAUGAUCUCUCAAAGGCUGCACCUCCAAAUACCAUUAUACUUCGGGUUAGGGCUUCAACAUACAAUUUUGGAGGAGACACAAACAUUCAUCCCAUUUAUUUGGUGCUCAAUAAAUAUUGGAUGUAUGAAUGGAUGGAAUAAAAAAAGAUAAACCUGUGUGGUAAUUGGAUAGAAAACACAUGGACAUACAGUCAUAUGCCACAUGACGUUUCAGUCAAUAAUGAACCGCGGAUAUGAGAGGAGUCCCAAAAGAUAUAAUGGGCCAGGAGCUGUGGCUCACACCUGUAAUCCCAGCACUUUGGGAGGCCAAGGCAGGCAGAUUAGUUGUGGUCAGGAGUUCAAGACCAGCCUGGCCAACAUGGUGAAACCUUGUCUCUACUAAAAAUACAAAAAUUAGCUGGUCACAGUGGCACAUGCCUGUAAUCUCUGCUACUUGGGAGGCUGAGGCAGGAGAAUAGCUUGAACCCAGGAGGCGGAGGUUGCGGUGAGCUGAGAUCGCACCAUUGCACUCCAGCCUCGGCGACAAGAGUGAGACUCUGUAUCCAAACAACAACAAAAAUCAAAAAAACAAACAAAAAGAUAUAAUGGAGCUCAAAUAAUCCUGUCAUCUAGUGAUAUAGUUGUCAUAACAUAGUAGUAAAACAUAUUAACUUUUUUUU